UCCAGUACCACCAUGCUCGCGUCCGUCCCAAUACUCUGUUGCUAAGGGGCUGUGUUGACUUCGGUCAACGCGAACCGACCCACAUUGUUGCGGGAAGCUGUAGGGGGACGCAGGAAGGUAGAUGAACCCGGUGAAUGGUAGAACCGGGGUAAGCGUGUAGGGGGAGGACCAGGUAAAUCCGGGCCUCAUAAACUCUGAGACGUGAUACCGAGCCGCUUCAGGCGAAGUCAUUGAUCCUAUGCUGCCUAGGAAAGCCCAGCAGCGAGUUGACAUGGUGCCCGUACCCCAAACCAACACAGGUGGACAGGUAGAGCAUACCAAGGCGAGUGGGAUAACUAUGGUUAAGGAACUCGGCGAAUUGCCUCCGUAACUUCGGGAGAAGGAGGACCCCAGUAGCGUGAUGAGACUUGCUCUCUGAGCGUGAAGGGGUGGCACAAAAUUGAGGGAAGCGACUGUUUACCAAAAACACAGCAGCGUGCUAAGCCGUAAGGCGCUGUAUACGCUGUGACUCCUGCCCGGUGCUGGAAGGUUACGGGGAUGGGUUAGUCCUUCGGGACGAAGCUCUGAACCUAAGCCCCAGUAAACGGCGGCCGUAACUAUAACGGUCCUAAGGUAGCGAAAUUCCUUGUCGGGUAAGUUCCGACCUGCACGAAUGGAGUAACGACUUCCCUACUGUCUCAACCAUAGACCCAGCGAAAUUGAAGUACGAGUAAAGAUGCUCGUUAGCUGCAGAAGGACGGAAAGACCCCGUGGACCUUUACUAUAACUUGAUGUUGUGUUUUGUCAUAUGUUGUGUAGGAUAGGUGGGAGACUUGGAAGCAUGGACGCUAGUCUGUGUGGAGUCAUCGUUGAAACACCGCCCUGCAUAUGGUGAGGCUCUAACCUAGACCCGUUAUCCGGGUUGGGGACAGCGUCAGGCGGGUAGUUUAGCUGGGGCGGUUGCCUCCUAAAGAGUAACGGAGGCGCCCAAAGGUUCCCUCAGCCUGGUUGGCAAUCAGGCGUUGAGUGCAAUGGCAAAAGGGAGCUUGACUGCGAGACCUACAAGUCGAGCAGGAGCGAAAGCUGGGCAUAGUGAUCCGGCGGUUGCGUGUGGAAGCGCCGUCGCUCAACGGAUAAAAGGUACCCCGGGGAUAACAGGCUAAUCUUGCCCAAGCGUCCAUAGCGACGGCAAGGUUUGGCACCUCGAUGUCGGCUCAUCGCAUCCUGGGGCUGAAGCAGGUCCCAAGGGUUGGGCUGUUCGCCCAUUAAAGCGGUACGCGAGCUGGGUUCAGAACGUCGUGAGACAGUUCGGUCCCUAUCCUCUGCAGCCGGAGGUGAAUUGAGGAAAGCUGUCCCUAGUACGAGAGGACCGGGACGGACGCAGCUCUCGUGUGCCAGUUGUCCUGCCAAGGGCAUGGCUGGUUAGCGACCUGCGGAAAGGAUAACCGCUGAAAGCAUCUAAGCGGGAAGCCUCUUCCAAGAUGAAUUCACCCACAGGGUUAACCUGGUAAGGCCCGUGGUAGACCACCAC
rnacentral:rRNA from 1 species